CAGCAGCCGCGGUAACACAGAGGGUGCAAGCGUUAAUCGGAAUUACUGGGCGUAAAGCGCGCGUAGGUGGUUUGUUAAGUUGGAUGUGAAAUCCCCGGGCUCAACCUGGGAACUGCAUCCAAAACUGGCAAGCUAGAGUAUGGUAGAGGGUGGUGGAAUUUCCUGUGUAGCGGUGAAAUGCGUAGAUAUAGGAAGGAACACCAGUGGCGAAGGCGACCACCUGGACUGAUACUGACACUGAGGUGCGAAAGCGUGGGGAGCAAACAGGAUUAGAGACCCCUGUAGUCCCUGUCUCUUAUAC
rnacentral:rRNA from 1 species